rnacentral:rRNA from 1 species
GGCUAAUCCUGGUCGGACAUCAGGAGGUUAGUGCAAUGGCAUAAGCCAGCUUGACUGCGAGCGUGACGGCGCGAGCAGGUGCGAAAGCAGGUCAUAGUGAUCCGGUGGUUCUGAAUGGAAGGGCCAUCGCUCAACGGAUAAAAGGUACUCCGGGGAUAACAGGCUGAUACCGCCCAAGAGUUCAUAUCGACGGCGGUGUUUGGCACCUCGAUGUCGGCUCAUCACAUCCUGGGGCUGAAGUAGGUCCCAAGGGUAUGGCUGUUCGCCAUUUAAAGUGGUACGCGAGCUGGGUUUAGAACGUCGUGAGACAGUUCGGUCCCUAUCUGCCGUGGGCGCUGGAGAACUGAGGGGGGCUGCUCCUAGUACGAGAGGACCGGAGUGGACGCAUCACUGGUGUUCGGGUUGUCAUGCCAAUGGCACUGCCCGGUAGCUAAAUGCGGAAGAGAUAAGUGCUGAAAGCAUCUAAGCACGAAACUUGCCCCGAG